UGCCAGCCGCCGCGGUAAUACGGAGGGGGUUAGCGUUGUUCGGAAUUACUGGGCGUAAAGCGCACGUAGGCGGAUUAGAAAGUUAGAGGUGAAAUCCCAGGGCUCAACCCUGGAACUGCCUUUAAAACUCCUAGUCUUGAGUUCGAGAGAGGUGAGUGGAAUUCCAAGUGUAGAGGUGAAAUUCGUAGAUAUUUGGAGGAACACCAGUGGCGAAGGCGGCUCACUGGCUCGAUACUGACGCUGAGGCGAAAGCUAGGGUAGCAAAAGGGAUUAGAUA
rnacentral:rRNA from 1 species